rnacentral:rRNA from 1 species
AACGAACGCUGGCGGCAGGCUUAACACAUGCAAGUCGAACGCAUCCUUCGGGGUGAGUGGCAGACGGGUGAGUAACGCGUGGGAACGUGCCCUUCAGUUCGGGAUAACCCAGGGAAACUUGGGCUAAUACCGGAUGCGUGCGAGAGCAGAAAGAUUUAUCGCUGAAGGAUCGGCCCGCGUCUGAUUAGCUAGUUGGUGGUGUAAUGGCCCACCAAGGCGACGAUCAGUAGCUGGUCUGAGAGGAUGAUCAGCCACAUUGGGACUGAGACAAGGCCCAAACUCCUACGGGAGGCAUCAGUGGGAAAUAUUGGACAAUGGGCGCAAGCCUGAUCCAGCCAUGCCGCUUGAGUGAUGAAGGACUUAGGGUUGUAAAGCUCUUUCGUCCGGGACGAUAAUGACGGUACCGGAAGAAGAAGCCCCGGCUAACUUCGUGCCAGCCGCCGCGGUAA